ensembl:lncRNA
AUAUGCAGAGUAUGAAAGGGCAAGAAACACCUGCACUGAUGCUACACAGCCUGCAAUUUCCCAGUUCCUCCAGUCUCGUCCUCAGGAAGCCUAUUCAGCUAAUCAUCCAAGACAGAAGGCCAUAACAAAUGCCAUUCUAAGAGACCUGGUGAUAGGAUGUAGCAUGCCUCUUUCAAUCACUGAGAAUGGACAUUUCCGACACUUCAUGUCUGUGGCUGACUCCAAGUACCAGCCUGCCUGUCAUAGGACAAUAACUUUAAAAAUAGAAUCCCUUGUUGCAGAGACUAAAGAGAAAAUAAAAGUCCUUCUCGCUAGUGCAGACCAUGUAUCAAAAUAAGUCGCUAGGCCGAAGAUGUGUUUUGCGCGAGCUCACCGAGUUCUACACUUUCACAAACCUGUCAUUAUUAUUGGCAAUAAACUUAAGAUGCAAAUAAGAGAUUCACUGCAAAAUAUUUGAUAUUCUUGAUGCUGCUCUGAUGAACUCCAUUAGGACUAUGCACCGCUCUGUUUGUUGUUAGGAAGACUAAAAGUUCAGCGGUCUAGCUCAUCAUUGUCAAAAUGAUUAAAGAAGUGAACGAAUGCCUGGUAAAAUGUAAGUAGAUAAACAUUUAACAUUUUUAUUUAUUUAUUACAUUUUGCCUUUUUGAAUUGAAAAUAUGCUAUAAUGUACUUUAUUAAUUUAGAGACAAUACAUGCAUAAUUACAAAUAAAUUUUUAGUUGCAAAUAGUUAAAAUGAUUUCACUAAUACAAUAAGCCUUUCUUUCUUUUUCUUUAUUCCCUUAAAUACCUUUUAUAAUUAAUUAAUUCCUUUAAAUAAAAAUAAGCAAUUUUAGUUUGGGCUUAAGCGAUCUUACUCAGGGAGAGAAGAUUGUGACGGUCAGCUCUGUCCUCCCCUGUGUAUUGUCACUAAACCACCAUUUGGAAAAACUCAAACAGCAAGUGCACUUCCUGGGAAGCAUGAUCCAUAGCCUGCAAUGCUCUCUCAAGAAAAGAUUCCGGGGGAUCUUUGUUAAUCUGAAAAUGUUAUCAGCAGCAUCAGGAGAAGAGCUGCCAUUUGCUGACCCACUCUACAUCAGAUCAGCUGUCCUGGACCCAGCUUUCUCCAUGAUGUGGCUUCAGCAUGAUGUGCUUGUCACGGAUGACAUAAAGAAUGACAUUGUUGACAUGGUGAAAGAUCUGAUUCUACGUGAGGUGCGACCUGACACAACAUCCCAGAGUCCUGGAUUCCAAGAGGUUGAAAAUGAAAACCAGGAGGAAGAGAGCACUGGCUUAUUCUCAGAGUACAGAAAACGCUGCAAGCAGGACACAACCACCAACCCAGAGACACAACUAAAUAACUAUUUUGGUCUUUGUUGUGGGCAGGCUUGUCUGUCCUUCUGGGAUGCAAACAGGGGUAUCCUCCCUGCACUUUUUCCUGUUGCAAUGAGAGCUUUUUCAGUGCCGGCUUCAAGUGCCCCAGUUGAAAGGGUCUUCAGUCAUGGUGGGAUCAUCAUGAGGCCACAUCGUGCUCGGCUUGCAGACAAGACCCUCUCGAAUCUUAUAUUUUGCAAGUGCAAUACCUUGUAAAAGAGGUAAUGACUUAGGGAUAUACUCUGUGUGUGUGUGUGUGAGAGAGAGGGAGAGUGUGAGAGAGUGUGUGUGUGUGUGUGUGUGUGUGUGUGAGAGAGAGAGCGAGAGUGAGUGUGUAUGACAGAGAGAGUGAGUGUGUGUGUGAGAGAGUGUGUAUGUGUGUGUGUGAGAGAGAGCGUGAGUGUGUGUGUGUGUGUGUGAGAGAGAGAGCGAGAGUGAGUGUGUGUGUGAGAGAGAGAGAGUGUGUGUGUGUGAGAGAGAGAGAGAGAGAGAGAGAGAGAGAGUGAGAGUGAGUGUGUGAGAGAGAGAGAGAGAGGAGAAAUGUAACAAAGUUUAAUGUUGUAUGUAAACUGUGUUUGAGAGAGAUAGAGGGAGGUGUUCAGAGAGGAGUCUGUUGGAUGUUAAGCUGUUAUUUGUUUUAUAGACUCAAUGUUGAAAAUUUAAAACAUUUCAAACACUGUUGGCAGAAGUGAAAAAUAAAUUUUAUGAAGUUACAAUUUAGCA